rnacentral:lncRNA from 1 species
UAAUUAAUGUUUAUUUUUUAUUUUUUUUUGAUACUUCAUAUUUAUUAAAAAAUUUAUAUGCUCAUGAACUUGUUAAGCAGAAACUUGUAAACCAAGAAUUUUCUAUACAAUAAAGAAGAAAUAAGUAUUUUUAUAAAUAAAUGUGAAGCAUGCAGUUGUUACUAUAGGGCAUACUACUAUGCAAAAAAGGAUGCAACAAAAUAACUUUAUAUAUUUUUGAUCAUAUUUGUGCAAUAUCCAAUAUUUAAAUAUCUACAAACAUAUUAAAUUAUGUAACAAAAAUCAUCAUCUUACUGAUUUCUUUUGAUUUUUUUUUUUGUUAAAAUAUGUCCAUAUAUUUUAACAAAAAUAAAUCAAAAGGAAUCAGUAAGAUGAUGAUCUUUGUUAUGGCAGAUUGCACAGGUGGGAUGAAAGUACAACAGGAAUAUGGUGCAACUGAGUUCGUAAAUCUUAUCAAAAAAAUAAAAAAAAAAUGUUUAAUUUUAGAUUAUCCUAUGUAUAAGCCAACUCGUCAAAAUUUUUUUGGAAAAAAUUCCUCAGCUUAUACAUGAGUAUGUAUGGAAAAUAAUAUUUCUAUUGAUCUG